rnacentral:rRNA from 1 species
CUACGCGCUGCUCCAGUGAGGAAUAUUGCACAAUGGGGGAAACCCUGAUGCAGCAACGCCGCGUGGAGGAUGACGCAUUUCGGUGUGUAAACUCCUUUUAUGAGUCAAGAAAAUGACGGUAGCUCAUGAAUAAGCACCGGCUAACUCCGUGCCAGCAGCCGCGGUAAUACGGAGGGUGCAAGCGUUACUCGGAAUCACUGGGCGUAAAGGACGCGUAGGCGGGAUGUCAAGUCAGGUGUGAAAUCCUAUGGCUCAACCAUAGAACUGCACUUGAAACUGGCAACCUAGAGUAUGGGAGGGGGAGAUGGAAUUAGUGGUGUAGGGGUAAAAUCCGUAGAUAUCACUAGGAAUACCGAAAGCGAAGGCGAUCUCCUGGAACAUUACUGACGCUAAGGCGUGAAAGCGUGGGGAGCAAACAGGAUUAGAUACCCGAGUAGUC